rnacentral:rRNA from 1 species
GACGAACGCUGGCGGCGUGCUUAACACAUGCAAGUCGAACGGAAAGGCCCCUUUGGGGGUACUCGAGUGGCGAACGGGCGAGUAACACGUGAGUAACCUGCCCUUGACUUCGGGAUAACUUCAGGAAACUGGGGCUAAUACCGGAUAGGAAUCCUUGCUGCAUGGUGGGGGUUGGAAAGCUUCGGCGGUUUUGGAUGGACUCGCGGCUUAUCAGCUUGUUGGUGGGGUAGUGGCUUACCAAGGCUUUGACGGGUAGCCGGCCUGAGAGGGCGACCGGCCACAUUGGGACUGAGAUACGGCCCAGACUCCUACGGGAGGCAGAAGUGGGGAAUAUUGAACAAUGGGCGGAAGCCUGAUGCAGCAACGCCGCGGGCGGGAUGACGGCCUUCGGGUUGUAAACCGCUUUCAGCAGGGGCGAAGCUUGUGGUGACGGUACCUGCAGAAGAAGCACCGGCUAACUACGUG